AGCUCAGUGGUCGAGCGCGUGCUUGGCAUGCAUAAGGCCCUGGGUUCAACCCCCAG
rnacentral:tRNA from 1 species